AUGUCCAACGGCAAGCCGACAUAUAACAGUGACUCUUCUUACAUGUCGAGCAUACCGGUCUGUUGCUUUCUCAGGGCAAUGCAGCCGACAAGUAGUUUACUUCGCUGGACCGAUGAUCUCCAUAAGAUCUUCCUGGAAGCUGUAGAGUAUCAAGGAGGCCCCUAUGAGGUGAAGCCAACUGCGGUGAAGGAGAAAAUGGAAGCUAUGGGAGUCACAGGCCUCACAAUCUGGAACAUAAAAAGCCACCUCCAGAGAUACAGGGAGAAGUGCAAUUUAGGACCUGAACCUCCUCGGGAUGUCCGAGGCACUGCAUCACCAAGGAAGGCUGGAGAUAAUGUGUAUGGUUCUCUGAUGCAAUGGAAUUGUUGGAUCUGCAUGCCUUUGUGUUCUCUAUUUAUUUAUUUGUAUUUUAGAACUGACUGA
rnacentral:rRNA from 1 species